GAAAUAUUUCAAUAUAACAGAUUAUUUGAUUUUAACAGUAAGUGCUAAUCACAAAAUCGAAUCUCAAAUAAUGAAUCUGAAAAUUGGUGAAUGUCUAUUUGUACUUCUGGUGAUUGGGUGCGCAGGAAUAAGGGCAGAUUGUGAUCAGAUACCCGGAGAAAGUAUGAAGGACACUACAUAUGAAAGACAUAAACCCUGGUCGCCGGAUAUCCGAUUGUCAGGAUAUCCGGAGAACGACGAUAUCAUUGAUAACAUCGACGAGGCUGAUUUAUUAGAAUGAAGCAACAGGUCUUAAUAAAAUAUCUAUUCAGUUCUGAAUUCAUUAUUUUUCGGGCAUGAAACAAACUAAAUAAAUUUUUAUGAAGAUCUAAAAUAGCCUUUUCAUCCGGUAAAAACUAAAUCACUGAUUUUCUAUAAUAAAUGACUAAAUUAGUCCAGUUCCAGGUUUCAAAGCUAUUUCAGGGCUUUUAAUAAUAAUCUUAUAUUUUGUGUUCCAAGUUUCAAAAAAGUAAACCAUAUUUACGUUCGAUUGGGAGUACGAAGUUUAUGUAUUUUGAAAUAAUUAAUAACAACAUUUUUCGCGUAGGUUGAUGAUACCGGAUAAUUCGGCGUACUUACUGUGUUUUAUGUAUGAAAUGCUUUGUAUUUGUGCCAGUUUUCUUUUUCAGUUUGAAAAUUUGAACAAACAUUGUUAAAAUCACGAAUUGAUUAAAUACAUACACUUUUUCAGCAGAGUUCGAUUUUGCUUAUGGGUUUAUUUGAAUAG